CAAAACCCCGGUGGCAGCCCCCGGCUCACCUGAGCUCCGGGCGGUGGAGAGGGGCCGCGGCCGCCCCGGGGCUCCCCGAGCCCAUCCGGGGGAGCUGGGGGAGAGAGGAGCGGCACCGGCAGCGGCAGAGCUUGCGGGCUCCUCUUGCAUCUCCCAGGCACUGCAGAGGCUGCAUGUCCUUCGGGAGGAGGAGCAGGGACAAAAACAUGGCUGGAAAACAGCAAAAGCAGGACCCACACAAUCUGUGCCCCCGCAGAGCCAUGCGGUAAGUCUCCGCAGCAUCCUCGAGGGCUGGCAUCUGCUCCGUACCAGCUCUGGGGCUGUCUGAGCUCUGGCCCUCCAGCACUUGCCAAGACCGGGAUGAGUCACGGCUGCUACGAAAUCCACACGUCCCGCAGGCCCCUACCAGUUUUAUCCCCAGAGCUUAUUUCUGCACACGAGGAAUCCGAGACAAACCAUUCCUACCAGGAUCUGGGGAGCCUUAAUCCCUGUGUCCAACACUGGAGGUGUUUUGGUUUUGUUUUUUAAAUAAAAUCCUCCAAAGCUCUUAGGGAACUGAUGGGGUGAAGGGAGGUCCUUGCUGGCACACCCUUUGGGGUACACUGUUGAUAUUUACCCUUCAAAUCACACAGGGCAGUGGUCUGCAGCUUCUAAAACCCCACGUUGGGCACAGCAGAGCUCCCACUGCACAUGUUCCUCAUCCUUUCUCCCAUCCUGCUCUGAAGCUGGGAGGACUGGCUGCCAGGAGAGAGGAGCGGAGCUGCUCAGCUGCUCUGUCCAAGGCAGAGCCGGGGUCAGGUUCGUUCUGGGGUUCCCAUUAAUUAGGAAUAGGUGCCCACAGGUGAGACAGAGGCCUUUGCUUCAAAGCCAGUGGGAAGCUCAGAGCAAACACCAGCUUUAACUGCAUGCACCCCCAUCGCCAGGGCCCAGGAAGGGGCUGCUUAGCUUUGGUUGUGCAAUUCACAUUUUCUAUCUGCUUUAAAAAAAUUCAGCCCUGCAGAGAGACGCCUUGCUCGGGGAGCAGACCAGGCAACUGCCUACCUGAGGAGGCUGGCAGUAUCUAAGAGAAAAACACGGAAAAGCAUCGCCGUGCACUGCUUGUGUGUAUCUAUGGUUACAGGAGCCUGUGCCAGAGCAUGGACGAUGUUUCCAGGGAAAUCAGACACGGUGGUGUCAACAGGGACUGCAGGAGCUCAUCCUCCAUCGGGGUAGGGUUUGGAUGCUCAGAGCAGACCCACACAGCAACCGCCAGGGACAAAAAUAAACGCCUGCCAUUUGGAGGAGAAACCAUCCCACACACAGAGGGUGAGGUGGGCUUGGCAGGGAAACACAAGCACCACCUGCUGCUGCAAGCGCUUGGCACGUGUCCCCAAGGAGAUCUAAGCGUGUGCCGAAGAGCUUCUCUUGUCUGGGCAGUUAUUGCACGGUUACUGCAGUUACUGCACAGGUAUUGCAGUUAUUGCAUGGUUAUUGCAGUUAUUGCACCGUUAUUGCACAGUUAUUGCAAUUAUUUCAUGGUAAUUGCAGUUAUUGCACAGUUACAGAGCUCCCUACAACUAGAGCUCAUCAGGCUGUUGUAACUGAGCAUUGCAUCCUUUCCAAAAGAAAUUAAUUCUGUAA